UCCUGCCUUAUCGUGCCACUCUCCGUUUCCUCCGCCUCAACCAUCCAAGCGCUGCCUCUCCCAGAUCCGCCUCUGCCUUGACCUGCCCCAUCAGCACCGCCGCUGCCUACUUCCCCUAGUCUUGCAGUCGCUCUAGAACCACCCCUCCUUGAUUCGCCUCAUCCUUGGCUAAGGAUGGCCUCUCCCUUGAGCUUUGUGUGCACCGACAUACUCGCGCAGAGCAUGUUCUUCGCCGCCAAGUUCUCCGACCGCUGGUCCACAUGGCGAUGUGCAUCGAGGCUCUGCGCCUCAUGUGCUGCAAGGAUUUUCGUCGGAGGCUGAUAAGGAAGGUUGUGGGAAGGUUCUUGUCAUUUAAAGGCUUCAAGCUAUCUCUAUUAACAUAAGAAUUGAGGUUUGGAGGAAGAAACGAGAUAAGCUAAAAUGGUUUGGACAUAAGAUGUAUUUCUCUCAGAACAUCAUGCUUCAUUCACUUGGAUUGUUGGUUACUGCCAUUACUACCAACGGAUUGGGGGCAUGCGCGCCAACCGCCAAGUAAUGCCUUCAAGACUAGUUCAUGAGAAUUGGCACUACUGUUGCGUGAAGAGCAUUCAAUCUACUCUUUACACAUCUAGUUACUACCUCUUCAGAAUAACAAUACAUUGUAUUCUUAUGUGUUCAAUAUUCUAUCUGGACAAGUCUCUGGCUGCUGAGUCAAGAUUACAAAGCGCUGGGAUGAUGAGGUAUUAAUGGGGGACAAGGGCGAGCACACUUGUUGAGAGCCUAUAUUCAACCUGCAGUUGUAUACUGGUGAUGACAUGGCAAUUACUUUAUUUUCUUAACCAGAAAAUAUGGUAUAAAGAAUGUGGAUGUCAUUAUGUACACGGAUAAUGGGAAGCAAUCAUAGAGGUGAUCUUAAUGAUGAGAGUGAUAUCUAUGGUGACAAGCAGACUUCAAAGUGAUUCAACCAAGUGAAGUUCUCAAGUUGGAAUGUUGAUGUUGUUUGAUGUUUCUGGACCAUUUGUCUUAGGAAAAAUGUAUAGAACAUUAUGUUCUCGUCACUAUUUUAUUUUUCAUUUUGAUGGAUCAUUAAGGUUUAGUGUGAUUUGGAUACUACUCUUGGUGUACUUGGGAUACAUUAUGAGAUUGUGCUAAAUAUAAUUUGUUUUUGUCA